AUGGAGCUCCCAUGGGGUGCCCUGCUGCUGGCGCUGCUCACCGUCUCCGCCUCCUCCGCCGUCGCCACGCUCGCCGUCACCGCUCCCCCUCCGGCCCCUGCCCGUGCUCCUGCCCCCGUCACCGCCCCUGCCCCGGCCCAUGCAUCUCCUCAAGCUCAGGACGCUGAAGGUCUGCUGAUGAACGGCAACUUCGAGACGGCGCCGAGGAAGGUGAACAAGACCCUCAUCGUGGGCCGCCACUCGCUGCCGGGGUGGACGCUGCGGGGCCACGUCGAGUACGUGUCGGCGGGGCCGCAGCCGGGCGGCAUGUUCUUCGCGGUGCCGCACGGCGUGCACGCGCUCCGCCUCGGCAGCCACGCGUCGGCGUCGCAGAACGUGUCCGUGCGCCCCGGCUCGCUCUACGCGCUCACCUUCGCCGCCACCCGCACCUGCGCGCAGGACGAGGCCCUGCGCAUCGCCGUCUCCCCGUCGCUCUCCGCCCCCGCCGACGUCGCCGUCCGCACCCUCUACAGCGCCGACACCGCCGACACCUGGGCCUGGGGCUUCCGCGCCUCCUCCCCUGUCGCGGAGGUCACCUUCAGCAACCCCGGCGUGCAGGAGGACGCCGCGUGCGGCCCGCUCAUCGACGCCGUCGCCAUCAAGGAGCUCCCCACGCCCUACCCCACCAAAGGUCAGAUCCGUCCGAGUUCGGUCGUUUCGCCUCCACGAAAAUGUUCUGCUCCAUCUGAUGUACGCAGUUGCUUGACGAUGCCAUUGAUGUACGUGGCUGUUGCAGAUAACCUGAUCAAGAACGACGGCUUCGAGAUCGGGCCGCAGGUGUUCAAGAACUCGAGCGUUGGCGUGCUGCUGCCGCCGAAGCAGAAGGACGUGACGUCGCCGCUGCCGGGCUGGAUCAUCGAGUCGCUCAAGGCGGUGCGGUACAUCGACGCCGCCCACUUCUCGGUGCCGGCGGGCCAGUACGCGGUGGAGCUGGUGGCGGGGCGGGAGAGCGCCAUCGCGCAGGUCAUCCGCACCGUGCCCAACCGCGCCUACAACCUCUCCUACGUCGUCGGCGACGCCAAGAACGGCUGCCACGGCUCCAUGCUCGUGGAGGCCUUCGCCGCCAACGUCACGCAGAAGGUGCCGUUCCAGUCCACGGGCAAGGGCGGGUUCAAGGCGGCGAGCCUCAGGUUCGUGGCCGCCGGAGUCCGCACCAGGGUCACCUUCUACAGCUCCUACUACCACACCAAGGUCACCGACGGCGUCUCGCUCUGCGGCCCCGUGCUCGACCAGGUCAAGAUCAUGCCGCUCAAGCUCUAG
rnacentral:rRNA from 1 species